UACGUAGGGGGCAAGCGUUGUCCGGAUUUAUUGGGCGUAAAGAGCGUGUAGGCGGUCAGGUAGGUCCGUUGUGAAAACUCGAGGCUCAACCUCGAGACGCCGAUGGAAACCAUCUGACUAGAGUCCGGAAGAGGAGAGUGGAAUUCCUGGUGUAGCGGUGAAAUGCGCAGAUAUCAGGAAGAACACCGUGGCUAAGGCGGCUCCUCGUAGUAAGCGGUACUGACGCUGAGACGGCG
rnacentral:rRNA from 1 species